rnacentral:rRNA from 1 species
CCUACGGGAGGCAGCAGUAGGGAAUCUUUCACAAUGGGCGAAAGCCUGAUGGAGCAACGCCGCGUGCAGGAUGAAGGCCUUCGGGUUGUAAACUGCUUUUAUAAGCGAGAAAUAUGAUGGUAACUUAUGAAUAAGGAUCGGCUAACUACGUGCCAGCAGCCGCGGUCAUACGUAGGAUCCGAGCAUUAUCCGGAGUGACUGGGUGUAAAGAGUUGCGUAGGUGGCAUAAUAAGUAGCUAGUGAAGUCUGGUGGCUCAACCAUUCAGACUAUUAGCUAAACUGUUAAGCUCGAGACCGUUAGGGGUAACUGGAAUGUCUAGUGUAGGAGUGAAAUCCGUAGAUAUUAGAAGGAACACCAAUAGCGUAGGCAGGUUGCUGGGACGGUUCUGACACUAAGGCACGAAAGCGUAGGGAGCAAACGGGAUUAGAUACCCCUGUAGUC